rnacentral:lncRNA from 1 species
UGUACUACAGCAGUGUAGCCUGUUCAGAUUUGAGCUUGUUCGGCCAUUAGUAGUGUUUAGAAACCUAACAAAGUGAUUCUGUGUUGAUGUCACACACUUGACACCUGGAGUGGUAUCACCUGUAAGAAGAGGGUACCAGUUAUUUCGUCGUGAUCCAGCAAGUCACAAUAUGUUCUGAAACAAAGUAGCUAGAGCAGUAGAGCACACAUGUGAGUUCAAGCAAACAGAAUUAUCACGAGACAUACCCUAUGGUGGUGGGGUUGAUUCAACAAUAAGAAUAGUAUUAGAUGCAUGCACUAAAAUGAAACUGCAAUUUAAAGCUCCUUGCAAACUCUACAAAUGUUCUGAAACGAUGGAUAGCAAGUGCAUAUGCUAACUUACCAAAAGAUGAUAAGGAAAUAUUUUUCUCAAAUAUGCAUGAGAGCAGCAAGUGCCCUCAUAUUGGAUAUGAGUGCUAUUCAUAACAAUUAUCACCAAAAACUUGACAGGUUUUCUCCUUUUAAUUAUUGGACCACAAUGGAAAGAAGAAUACUCUAGAAUUUUUUUCUCCUUUGGAUGGAAUUAGAAUAUUCACACAAAAAAAACUUAGAAAAGGCCUCCAAACAAAUAUUGCAAUUAAGACGAACAAAUAAUGUUACCUUUUCAGCCACUUUGGUCUGCCAGGCUUCUUAUUUGUUGUUGUUGGUACAGGAACAGAUUGAGAUGCAUCAGAUUGAAGAGAAGAAGAGUUCAUUCUAGAAUCAUCAGGUUGACUAGCAGGUUUCAGCAGAAGUGAC